rnacentral:sRNA from 1 species
GUCCUUAAGUGGGUCCCUUCCUAAGGCUGAUGUGGUGGCACAUGCUUACACAGGAACUCUGGAGCUGAGGAAUGAAGAAAUACUUCAGGAUGUUCAGAUCCUCCCUAGCUUCCUGAGACUGUUGGUCAACUCUGAGAAGCUGGGUCUUCCUCAUCAUGCCUAGUUGGGUCAGAAGCAGGAUAGUGACUCACCUUUCUGGAACAAGUGGGCUUACUAAAUGUACAGCCAACAAAGUCAGUCUUUGCGACGUGAAGAAGAGCUCCAGGCCCAAAGGCAAAAUGGCUGGGCUCUAGCCGCAGCUCACAUAGUGACUUGGGCUAGCUCUGAGCCUGUUUGGUGCCUUCAAGUUUGCAAUUUGCAAAAAAGAGGAAAUGGGUCUCUCGGUCUGCAAUCAACUGACGGUAAUAAUCUUCUGCCUUUACAGACUGCUGGGGAGUUUCAUUUUCAUCCUUGUAUCUCAUUUGAUCCUCCCAACAAGCGGAUUCCAUCUAUAAAUGAGGAAAGCUUAGGUUCCCAAGGGAGCAAUUUACAAAAGGAACACAGCAAGUCAAAAGUGGAGGCUGGGCUAUAGCUCUGGAAUCCUACUCUGGUCCUUUAUUCUCUUCGAAAAGUAUGGUGUGAGGAUCAAGGCAACGAGGGGGCUGUGCUUUUGCAAACAAUAAAAGGUUCACGGAAAGAUGAGUGGACAGCUCCGUUACCACAUGUUACUGUCACCUUUGCUCAGGCGACCCCGAGCGUCCAACUUGAGGCUAUCCGGAACUUUGUUGUUGGAAAUGAUACGAACAAAAAUGGAGAGUCUUGCCCAGGGGGUCUGAG